AUGCACGCUGGCGGCGUGCCUAAUACAUGCAAGUCGAGCGAACAGACGAGGAGCUUACUCCUCUGACGUUAGCGGCGGACGGGUGAGUAACACGUGGAUAACCUACCUAUAAGACUGGGAUAACUUCGGGAAACCGGAGCUAAUACCGGAUAACAUGUUGAACCGCAUGGUUCAACAGUGAAAGACGGUCUUGCUGUCACUUAUAGGUGGAUCCGCGUCGCAUUAGCUAGUUGGUAAGGUAACGGCUUACCAAGGCAACGAGGCGUAGCCGACCUGAGAGGGUGAUCGGCCACACUGGAACUGAGACACGGUCCAGACUCCUACGGGAGGCAGCAGUAGGGAAUCUUCCGCAAUGGGCGAAAGCCUGACGGAGCAACGCCGCGUGAGUGAAGAAGGUCUUCGGAUCGUAAAACUCUGUUAUUAGGGAAGAACAAAUGUGUAAGUAACUAUGCACGUCUUGACGGUACCUAAUCAGAAAGCCACGGCUAACUACGUG
rnacentral:rRNA from 1 species